UCUUAUGGAUGGGCAAAAAAAAAAAAAGUAGUUUUUUGAGAUAGAACCUACUCCUGGUGAAGAUGCUGUGAA
rnacentral:pre_miRNA from 1 species